rnacentral:lncRNA from 1 species
UCCAAGCCAGCACACAACAGUGUUCUCUUUUCUUCUAGGCAAGCUCCCUGAACCAGCUCACCAUGACAUCACACAAAUCAUAGUGUAAGCAGAGGGAGUUCAGUGUGAAGCCUGGGAAAGGGAAAAGGAACAAAUUUUAAACCCAAGGAGUUUUUUUCUUCCACUGAUCUUCCUUGUAUAACAAAAAGAAAAUAUCGAAAAUCUCACAAAAAGAACAAGCAGUAUGGUAUACUCAGAACUCCAGACACGAUGGCCUUACUUCCCACAUAUGGUCAAUACUGGAAACAAGAAAUAAGGCAAAGGACGACAUCGAAAGUAAUUCAUCAGGGAUAGAUGCAAUCUGGAAUUCCUUGUCACAUUCAUCAGUAGAGUUCCAGCAGGAACUUAGCUUCA